rnacentral:rRNA from 1 species
AUACGGAGGGUGCAAGCGUUGUUCGGAUUUACUGGGCGUAAAGGGCGUGUAGGCGGAUAUGCAAGCUGGAGGUGAAAGCCCCGGGCUCAACCCGGGAAUUGCUUUGUAGAACUGCAUAUCUAGAGAAAGUCAGAGGCAGGUGGAAUUCCAGGUGUAGAGGUGAAAUUAGUAGAGAUCUGGAGGCACACCGGCGGCGAAGGCGGCCUGCUGGGGCUUUUCUGACGCUGAGGCGCGAAAGCGUGGGGAGCAAACAGGAUUAGAAACCCCAGUAGUCC